CGAUUGCACUCGCAAUAAUCAGUGCACGUGUAUGGCACUGACGUUCUUGGCCUACCAUGCUGAGGGGUUUCAUUUUGAUGCAGACGUUCUUGACAGAGUUCUUGAAAAUGGAGACUCACUCUAUGCGUGGACAAUAUGUGGGCUAGGACUACGUUUAAUCAGCAAUCAUUUAACCAAAGAGGAAAUGCCAAAGAUAGUUCACACCGACAACAAUGCAUACACAGUUACACAGUUGGAGCCGAAAUUUGGUUUGGUGAGGGAUCGCAGCAAUUCCCUAAUAGAUCCUUAUUUGUUGCCACUUGCCAGACAACUUGAGUGCCUCUCACAAGAUGUCACUCAUGCUUUUCUGAUUGUGGCUCCAGAGUGCUUUGCGGUUUUUCGUGAUAGGUCAGGAUGCUAUGGUUUUUUUGAUUCGCACAGUCGAUCUUCAGUAGGUUUGCCAGUCCCAAACGGAACUGCGAUUAUGAUGACAUUUUCACACUUAGAUGACUUAGUCGACCAUGUGCAUGAGCUCCUUUCGGAUCGCAGCCCCGAUGCGAACUACGAGUUGGUACCGGUUUCCUUUGGAUUAGAACAGAUAGCAAGUGACAGACAGGUACAGUUGGAUGUCGUAGUCAUUUCAGAGCCCACCAAAGUAACAGACGCAGCAAUAAGAGAAUGUGUUGAGACAGAUCAAGAGGAGCUGAUAGUACCACCAUGCGUCCAUGUUCAAAUAGAUUUUUCCAAAGUGAGUAAAACGAGGCGACGGACCGCUAUGAAAAGGGCACUAAAGUGCCAACAAUGUAGACCGUUUGAAGCUUCAAAAGAACCCGAUCCCCGUCAAAAAAAACGUCUACAAAUGAAGGUCAAGUAUGUAACAGACACUAAUUACCGCCAACAAAAAUUAAACAGCUUUACCACGCGAUACAGGUGUGAUAGUGCCUUUAAGAAUAAACAGAAGACGCACGUAGCUGAAAAAUACCACAGAAGUCCGACGACCAAAAAGACUUUAAUGUCAGCAUAUGUUAGGAGAAGGUAUCAAUCUGAUCUGGCUUUUGUUGAACGACAGAAGCUGAAUCUCAGGGAAGGGUAUCACCUGGAUUCAGAUAUUCAGGUGAGAAAAAAGUUAUAUCAGAGGGAGCGGUAUCAACGGGAUCCAGCUUUUCAGGCGAGACAAAAGUUAUAUGUGAGACAGAGGUAUCACAGGGAUCCAGCUUUUCAGGCGAGACAAAAGUUAUAUGUGAGAGAGAGGUAUCACAGGGAUCCAGCUUUUCAGGCGAGACAAAGGUUAUAUCUGAGGGAGCGGUAUCAUCGGGAUCCAGCUUUUCAGGCGAGAUAUAGGGUGUAUCUAAGAGAUAAAUAUCGCAACCAUCCAGGUUUUAAGCAAAGGUGGGCUGUUUUCAUGAAAACAUGGAUGCAGAAGUAUAGAAACAAUCCUUAUUUUCAAAAUAACAAAUAUGUGCGAGAUAGUAAUAGACAUUCUAAUGUAAGGCUACAUGUUCAGCGUUGUGAAAAGAACCGUCUUAACGGGCAGCGUAUUCGGCACAAAUUACAAUGCGCGCUUCAAAUAAAGACUAAAUACAUGACUAGAACUCAACAUUCAGCCAACAAUGUGCAGGAUCCAGCAAGCGCUGUAAUGAAAGCAGCAAUAUCGUCGUUCCGCGAAAGAGUCGCACAUGGGCCCACAUAUGUUUGUACUGUAUGCCAUCGUGCUCUUUUCCUAAAUCAGGUACAGAAAUGCAAUCGAGGAAAAUAUAGCGACAACCAUGACAUAGUGGCCGCCAGCUUGACAGGUAAAUAUGUUCACGUCUGCAACAACAGUUGUUCUGCCCCAUGCACUGCCCCGCAAGAGAGAAAGCAGGAAUGGAUAUGUCACUCCUGUGACUCCCACCUCAGGAGAUGUGCAAUGCCACCUCUGGCAGUUGCAAAUAAGUUGGAUCUGGCACCCAUUCCCCAAGAGCUGUCCGAUUUAAAUGUACUCGAGAGACAGCUGAUAGCAAAAAUUAUACCUUUUGCAAAAAUUGUACGAGCUGUUCAUGGCUCAGUAGUGUGCGUACCGUCGGAAAUGGAAGCAGCAGUGAACUCACUACCUAGGCCACGUAGCGAAGCUCAACUGCUGCAGGUAAAGCUGAAGAGACGCCUUCGGUAUAAAGGACAUCCGCAUUUUUAUACAGUAAAUAUGGCGAAUGUUAUAGCUGGGCUCAGGACGCUGAUACACACUCAUCCACAGUACAGGGAUGUGUGCAUCAAUGAGAGUGCAGCAGCUGAAAGUGUCCUUGAAAGGGAAGAGGAGCCAUCCGCCCUGCCGUCAUCAUCCUUGCAGCAAGAGGCCAGCAAUGCCCAAGUUACGCAGGCACAGCAUGUUGAACGUGAUCAGGAGGAACUUCGGCCGGGCCUCAUGCUCGAUACAUGCAUGCAGCCGCUUGACAUUGCACAGGAAAGUCUUUCAUUUGGGGAUGGGAUAUUCAGCAUUGCUCCUGCCCAACAAAACAAGCCUGUUGGAUUUUUUGCUGUGCCGCAGCUGGAGGCCAUGGCCUUUCCUGUUCUGUUCCCAACGGGAAAGAACACAAUGGAUGAGGAGAGGAUCGUUAAAGUAUCACCGAGUUCUUACUUCAACACCAGAUUGUUUUCAGUUGAUCCACGCUUUGCUGAAGAUCAGUGCUACCUUUUCUUUGCCCAAUUUGUCAUUGAAACGUACAUGGCCAAUAACAGCAUGUCGAUUCAGUCGCGGAAAGGAAAACCUCACACUGCGGAUGGGAGGAAAAUUCUGAACCGGAUGAUCCAGGACAAGGAGGCGUUGGAGCGGCUCAUACAGAACAGGGAAGCGACCAGAUUUAUGCAGCCACUCCGAGGAACACCAGCAUACUGGGAGAAAGCUCACCGGGAGCUCCACGCAAUGGCCAGGCAGUUGGGGAAGCCAACAUUUUUUCUUUCUUCUUUUCUGCGGCGGAAAUGAGAUGGCCUGAAGUCACUGCUGUGAUAAAAGCGCAGCAAGGCCAACAGGAGGGUCACUUUUCAGAUCUGGACUGGAACGCUAAAUGCGAGAUUCUCCGCAGCAAUCCAGUCACGGUCAUGCGCAUGUUUGAGAAAAGGGUAGAUGCUCUCUUAGAGCUUAUUCUGUCUCCUGCGCAGCCCAUCGGCCCAGUCGAGGACUACUUUUAUCGUGUUGAGUUUCAAGCACGAGGAAGUCCUCAUAUACACAUGGUGGUGUGGAUAAAGGACGCACCGGUGAUCGAGGAACCAGAUCCCAUCUACUGUGGCGAAGUGGUCGAAUUCAUCGACCGGUAUAUCACCUGCCACAUCCCCGAUCAAACCAAGGAUCCGGAACUCCAUGAAGUGGUUACGAGUGUUCAAACUCACAGCCGCAGUCACACCAAAUCUUGCCCAUGGAUGUCACCACAAUUACCUUUCCCUUUGAGGACCCGACCAGUGAUGACGAAGAGGAAAACGAUGACCCCAAGAAGAAGAGACGGAAGGAGGAAGACGCCCGUGCCAAAAGGACCAAGUUGGCGAAGAAACAGAGGGAGUCCAAGGAAAAGCUGAAACAGCUAAGAGAGCGUCUUAUGGACACACAGGUUCCGGAGGACUUGACGGACCUGCUCAAUUCGUGCCAGCUGACCCUGGGUCGGUAUAAGCACUAUGUUGAGAACCUCAGCACUGGGAUGGCUGUCCACUUGAAGCGUACACCGCAAGAAAGUUGGACUAAUGCCUACAACCCCCAUCUGCUGCGUGCGUGGAACGCCAACAUGGACAUCCAGUAUAUUCUGGAUGAUAUCAGCUGCAUCAUGUACAUGAUGUCUUACAUCUCCAAGCCGGAGCACGAGAUGACAGAGUUCCUCAAAUCUGUCAUCAAGGACGUGCAAAAGUCUGACGCCAACCAGAAGGAGGAGAUGCAAAAGAUCAUGCAGGCGUAUUCAAAGCACAGAGAGGUAAGUGCUCAGGAAGCAGUGGCACGAACAUGCAGUUUGCCCCUGAAGAAGUCCUCACGCAAUGUGGUGUUCCUCCAAACCGACGAGGACGGUUUCCGAAUGAGUCUGCCCAUGAGUCGGCUUAUGACCAUGCACCCAGAUUCAGCUGAAGUGUGGAUGUCAAGUUUGCCGGAAAAGUACGCCAACAGACCACGUACGCAGGCGUUUGAGUCUAUGUGUCUGGCAGAGUUUGCGUCUGAUUACAGGGUGGUCUACGGUUACGAGAGAGAAGGGCCAAAUGUCAUUCCCCUUUUGAACGACAUGGGUUGCAUUCAGAAGAGGACCAGGGAAAAACCUGCCGUCAUAAGAUACACGCGGUUUUCCAUGACAAAGUUUCCUGAAAAAUAUUUCAGGGCCCUUCUCAAACUCUACUUGCCCCACAGGACGGACCGUGAGUUGACCAGCGACUCCCACCCAACUUAUGAGUCAUUCUACCUGGGCGGAUGGUCAAGGCUAGGUCCUGCAAAGGCCAUCGUUGAUGAGAAAAUGAAGCGGUUUGAGGGCCAAGCGAAGAAACUGGACAAGGCUUUGGAGCGACUCCAACAGGAAGGUCCAGCUGUUAAUGCGUGGAACUCUUGCGCCAGAGGUGGAAGCAGAGCGCCUGGAAUGUCUUGCUGCGCUGAAGGCCAUGAUGCCAAACGCAGCGGACGAGCGGGAUGAGCAGGAUGAUGUUCCUGCCUAUCAGGCUGACCUUUCCGGCGCCCCAGCACUGCCGGCCUUUGAAGCACCCCAGUUGAGUCCGGACUUUGUGAGGAGGAUGUACCGCAGUCUUAACAUCAUGCAGGCUUCCGUCUUCUAUGCCGUACGCGACUGGUGUUUGCAGCGCGUUUCUGAUCGCGACCUUGAGCCCUUUCAUUAUUUCAUCUCAGGGGGAGCUGGAUGUGGCAAGUCACAUGUCAUCAAGUGCAUUUACCAGGAGGCCACCAAGAUUUUUCGGCAGCUUCCUGGCAUUCGUACCGAUGCGGAUUUGUCUCAGCCCACGGUUCUGUUGACGUCAUUUACCGGCACAGCUGCGUUCAACAUUUCUGGGAAAACCUUGCACUCGGUCUUGAAGCUCCCAAGAAGUUUGAGGCCUCCAUAUCAAGGACUCGGCAACGCGCUGGACACCUUGCGGGCGAGUCUUUCCAACGUGCAGAUUUUAAUCAUUGAUGAAAUAUCAAUGGUCUCCAAGGAUCUUUUUGCGUAUGUCCACUGGCGGUUCCAGCAAGUCAAGGGCAACCGGAAGACCUUUGGAGGGAUCUCUGUGCUUGUAGUUGGGGACUUUUACCAGCUGCCACCUCUUGGAAGGGCCAAACCCCUCUGUGUGUAUGAGGAUAAUGUCCUUGACCUCUGGACCAACUUUCAGUUGGUCCGACUUACGGAGAUCAUGCGACAGAAGGAGGACCUGACCUUUGCCCAGCUUUUGAACAGGGUAAGGGAAAAGCGGAAGGAGGAGCCCUUGUAUGAAAGUGACCGGGCUUUACUGCAGCAGGCUACUGUCGAAACAUCGCAGUGUCACACCAGUACGCUCCACAUUUUUGCAACCAAUAAGGAGGUUGACGAACACAACCGUGGCAGCUUUGAAACUGAAUGUGGUCGACAUUCCGGCAGAAAACUACAGAAAAGACCCCCGGACCGGACAAUUGGUCAUCGUGUCCAACAUGAUAACCGGGAGGAAAAGAGAUCUGCCCGACAACCUGCAAGCCGCUGUAGGAGCACGAGUCAUGAUCAUCCGGAACUUGGACAUUGAGGAUGGUCUCGUGAACGGCACCUUCGGGACCAUCAUGAACAUUGUCCGUGGACCACAGGGCGCUGUUACUUUUCUUGGCAUUUCUUUGGACAACCCUGGAGCAGGCCUGAAAUUUCGGAAGAAACUUCAGGGAUCCGGGGACGAUUUGGCCUACAUAGAAAAGUCAGAGGAAAGUUUAAGCAUCAAAGGACUGGUGAGGCGGCAAUUCCCGGCAAAACUGGCCUUUGGAUGCACGGCGCACAAAGUGCAAGGCAUGACGCUAUCUUCUGCGGUCGUAUCUCUGAAGCGCGUGUUUGAACCUGGAAUGGCCUACGUCGCUCUAAGUCGCACGACCUCGCUCCAGGGACUGAAGAUCAUGGACUUGGAUGAGAAGAAAAUAUAUGUUGAUCCCACCAUUGCUUUGGCAAUGGACAGCAUGUUGCACGCUUCUUUCUUGUCUGUCAGACCGCUAUUGCACUUUGCACAAUGGGCUUCUCCGACUUUGAAGAUUGUCCACCAUAACACAGAGGGCCUCGCGUGUCACAUGGAGGACAUCAAAUCUCAUCAUGAGCUGAGACUGGCUGAUGUGCUUUGUUUGACAGAAACCCAUUUGUCUGGUUCCAGCUCGCCACACUUGCAGCUGGAGGACUACGCUGUUUUUGUACGGAACAGACGUGUUUCCUACUUAAACAGGCCAGACAUGGCUGCGAAAGAGGGAGGCGGAGUUGCAGCAUACUGUCGGAGGGAACUUCAAGGCCAGCCCCUUCGGUUUGUCCAGAAUGUGCCAGACCUUGAAUUCUUGGUGGUUAAAGUCAUGGUGCCGAUCACGGCUGUGGUGGCUACUGUUUAUCGACCACCGAACUUGAGUCUGGGCACAUUUCUACCUAAUUUGACAAACCUCUUGGACACCUUGGCAAUGAUGGAAAGCCACCCCAUUGUUGUUUGUGGCGACUUCAACGAGGACCUGCUUUCGAAACGUAAGAAGCCUAUACUGGAGUUGUUUGAGUCCAGAGGCUAUACUCAGCUCAUCGGCAAGGCAACAACUGGCAAGCAGACACUGAUUGAUCACAUUUACAUUUCUCAACCGCAGUCUUGCAUUCAGUCAGGUGUUCUGCAUUCUUACUACAGUUACCACAGUCCGGUGUACUGUAUCUUAACAUCUUUGUAGGCCCUGGUCUGGUCUACACAUGCUGUCUUGUCCCCAAUGAACAUUUGCUUGCAAUGACCAUGUGGCCAUUUCUUCCCCUCCAUCCAUCCACGCCGUCUCACAUACGUAAGUACUCCGUGCUUGUGACCUGAAGGCUAGGUAUGCUGUACCUCUGCUCAUGGGCUGCCUUUCAGAAAUGCUGCUGCACACGCUUUAGCCCCAACCGGAAGAUGUCGCUUUAUUAUAUGUAGUAGAUACAUACUCGAGUCAGAAUUACUGUAUUAUCAUCUCUGAACGGGCAGUGUUGGCAUAGUCAUGUUCUCCCUAUUCCUGAAACUUCAUGUCACUUAUAUGAUGGAACAUUCUAAUAACUUUCUUCUCUCUCUCUCUCUCUCUCUCUCCCCUGUAGGAGGCACUGUUGCAUGAAUAGCCUGUUUGAGGCUGUUAUGUUAUACUCUGUCAUAGCAUUACUUUCAGCUUUUUCAAUUACUGACUUGUUACUAACCUGUCUCUCUUUCUCUCCCCUGUAGUAGGCACUGCUGCAUGAAGACAUGAACGGUUAUCGGUAUCAGCAUUGCUGAUAUGUAGUCAUCGGACCUCUUUUUUUUUCCGCAAUAUAUAAUAUUGAUAAAGUAUAUAGUGUGUUUGGGUGUGUGUGUAUAUACAGUAUGUAUUUAUUUGACUAACUUGUCUCUCUUUCUCUCCCCUGUAGUAGGCACUGCUGCACAAAGAGCUGAGAACAGCAAAGCUCAAAGAUUUGUAUUAGUGGCAGUACAUUUUACGCAAUAUAUAACAUGUAUAAAGUGUAUAUGUAUAUGACAGUUACUGAUAACAUUUGAAUAACUUGUCUCUCUUUCUCUCCCCUGUAGUAGGCACUGCUGCAUGAAAAGCUGAGAAAAGCAGAGCUCAUAGAUUUGUAUUAGUCGCAGUACUUUUCCGCAAUAUGUCACGUGGAGUCUAUAUAUUUGGGAUGCUCGGCAUAUGAGUAUCCCAACUGACUUCCUGUGUGAGGACUAAGCCUAGCAAAACAGAAGGAUGCUAAGGAUAAAAAGCUGAUACAGUGUCAGAUUUGUGAUUUGUGUGUUUUACAGCUACAGAGGAGAACAGGUUCAACUCGCAUUCUGAUACCAACUGCAGGACAUGACAGAAAAGGGAAAAGACAAGCCUUUACAGAAACAUUUCCUGGACGUGUUAAUACUUCAUUCCUGUUGUAAUACUUAGUUACCUACCACAUACAUAUGUUCACUAUGCCUUUUUGUUCUCAAGCGUUUGCACCUUUAUGUAUAAAGACCAUUAUUAUGCAUAAUCAUGCUGUACCAAACAUUUUUCUAUUGUAACCUAAAAAGUCGAGACAGACGGCUGCCCCACUGAGCCUGGGUUCUGUCCAAGGUUUCUUCCCAAGUGGGAGUUUUUCCUUGCCUCCGUUGCCAGGUGCUUGCUCAUGUGGGUUUCUGUUGUUCAUUUAUGACAAACUUGAUAGACCAAACUAAUAAUAAUAAUGUGAACCAAAGUGCCUCGAGAUCACUUGUUUUGUUGUGAGUUGGUGCGAUAUGUCAUUGAACGCUUCUUUAAAUUACUGCUGUUUUUUUUUUCUGAAAUAUUUGAUGUGCCUUGGGCCGCUGACCUAAACUGUUGAGUUACAUACGGGACAUGUUGCCUUGCUACAUUAAGUGUUUGUCAUUGGUUUUAUCUUUCUAUAUUACAGAAUAUUAUACAUCACAAUACUGUUCAUAACUGGUGUAAUUGUUGACAUUUUGACUUCAAGAAUUUAAGGCUUUGUUGCAUCUUGUGGUUCCUUUUUA